rnacentral:tRNA from 3 species
ACUAUUUUGGCAGAUUAGUGCAUUAAAUUUAGAAUUUAAAUAUAUAAUUAAAAAUUAUAAGUAGUA